UCGGCCAGCUGACUGCCCACCAGAGCCCAAGUGGGACGUGCCCGGCUGCACGUCUGGCGCGGGGGCUGGGCCGGUGCCGCCGCCAGGGCGUCUCGGGGUGCGGGGCAGGUGUAACUGCGCGCGGGAGCAUCCUAAGCAAAAGACUUUGGAAGGAGGGGUCAGGAAGUUUAGUUAUGCCUCCCUGGAAUCCUCCCUUUCAGGAACUUUAUAUGCAUCUGAGUAGCUCAUUGCUGACUUAGCAUUUUUUCACAUAUCAAAACGGAGUUGGAUGCCAGACACCAGGGUCUCUAACAUUAUACAGGAAAACCAACUGAAAGCUGAUAUUGACACCACCACUCCCCCCCAAAGAUGAGAAAAGACAUGAAGCUACGAAAUGCACGGGGUCAUUUUGGGGGUUUAAUUCUGAAGUUUUUGCUCAGGCUGCACUCCCAAUGAACUCCAUUGGGUUUUGUCUGCAGAAGCAGGCAGUGUAUUCUGAAGAAACGAUCAGGGGCCUGAGCAUCUGCUCUGAGUUCUGAGUUCAAAUGGGAUGUUUUUCUAAAAAAUCUGUUCUAGGAAUUAUUUUGAAGAAGUUCCAUGGCCUGUGUGAUACAAGAGGUCCAGAUGAGAUGAUCACAAUGGUCCCUUCUGGCCUAGGAAUCUCUUAAUCUAAAUCCUGGUUUACCCAUUAAUUUGUUCUGCACCCUGGGAUGAGUCCCUUCAUCUUUCUGCCUCAGUUUCUCCAUCUGUAAAAUGAAGAUAAUAUUUGUGACUGGUUGGAUCACAGGAACCCCCUUGAAAACUGCCCAGUGAUGUGCCAAGACUGCUUCUGCCCUGGCUUUCCGUGCCAGCUUGGGACCCCAGCACCUUGUCUUGCUGAGCCAGACAUGCCCAUCUUCUCCAACACAGACACAGGGUCUGAA